UCCGCGAUAGCUCAGCUGGUAGAGCACUCGGCUGUUAACCGAUCGGUCGCAGGUUCGAGUCCUGCUCGCGGAG
rnacentral:tRNA from 1 species